rnacentral:rRNA from 1 species
GUCUACAGCCAUGCCACCCUAAACACGCCCGUUCCCGUCUGAUCUCAGAAGCUAAGCAGGGUUGGGCCUGGUGAGUACUUGGAUGGGAGACCACCUAGGAAGACCAGGUGCUGUAGGCA